rnacentral:rRNA from 1 species
UAGAGACUCAGAGCUGCAUAUCAAUAAGCGGAGGAAAAGAAACUAACAAGGAUUCCCUUAGUAACGGCGAGUGAAGCGGGAAGAGCUCAAAUUUGAAAUCUUCAAGGUUCUACCUUGACGAAUUGUAGUUUACAGAAGUGUUUUCUGUUAGUAGAGUGGCAAAAGUUCUUUGGAAUAGGAUAUCAUAGAGGGUGAGAAUCCCGUAUUUGGUCAUUCCUCCUAGCGUUGUGAUACACUUUCAACGAGUCGGAUUGUUUGGGAAUGCAGUCCAAAAUGGGUGGUAAAUUUCAUCUAAAGCUAAAUAUUGGCGAGAGACCGAUAGCGAACAAGUACCGUGAGGGAAAGAUGAAAAGAACUUUGAAAAGAGAGUUAAACAGUACGUGAAAUUGUCAAAAGGGAAGUGUUUGACACCAGUGUUGUUUUUCCGAAAAUCAAUUACGAAUGUUUUAUUUUUGAGGAGUUAUGACUUCAUCGGCUUGCUCCUUUCUUUAUGAAACUUUCUUAAUGCACUUUUCGGUUAACAAGUCAACAUCAAUUUCUUUUGUUGUAAAAGGUUAAUGAGGAAGGUGGUUUACUUUCGGGUAAAGUGUUUGUAGCCUUUUACCUCUGCAAUCGGAGAGAUUGAGGUCUGCAGCGUAGAUCCUUCGGGGUUAGAUACGUUUGUGCUAAGUUAUAGCUUUUCAUAGACAACUUGUUGACUAUGUUAAGUCUUGUAGCUUACUCGCUUACUGCUAUUUUACCUACGCUUAGGAUGUUGACGAGACUGUCGAUCUC